rnacentral:tRNA from 1 species
GCCUGGGUGGCUCAAUCGGUUAAGCAUCUGACUUUGGCUCAGGUCAUGAUCUCGCGGUCUGUGAGUUCGAGCCCCACGUCGGGCU